UGAGGAGAUUGGGUUGGAGGGAUAGAGGGAAGCAGCACAGCAGCAUCCCUUCCAGGCCUAUUUAUAGAAGCGGUGCAUUUGGAGUCUGAACCAACACCUGUCCACAAGGAGUCCUCUUGGACGCUCACAUCAGUACACACACACACACACAUCCCUUUCACCUUUCACCCCUGGGGGAAGCUUUCAAUCGGAAGCAGGGCGGCAUGCCAGAGACUGUGGAUGAGCAACGCUUUAACUGCCAAUAUUUGUAAUAACUUUAUCUCUCUCUCACACACACACACACACACACACACACACACAUUCACGUAAACCUGCCAGGUUACUGGGCAAGCACUGCACCUUGACAGUGUGCCAGUCACAUCAAAAGAUGGGGAAACUGAGAGCCAAAUCUGAGGCGAAGCUUUUGAUCAUUGAGAAAACAGCUGAAAAAUACAAAAAAAAAAUCUCACCGCUUUAUUCUUUUUCCCCUCCCUCGUUCACUUCCUCUGACAUUUACUCACUGGCUUUAUUCUUUGUUAAAUGUAAUGGCCUCCGUGUAUUACUUGGUUAGAUGGAGGCCAAGUCUAAAUUGUUUUUUUUCCUGUAUUCAGCAGUUUUAUACCUUUCUCUUGCCCCUCAUUAGCUUGGUUUUAAUGUGACCCAAUAGGUUAAAAGUUUACUUAAUUUAGAGACAUAAUUACAACUUUGUAAGAGUUUUUUGGUUGAAAGGUGUUUACACACCUGUGUGUUCAUUGGUGACUCACUGCUUUCAGCUAAAUAAAAGUGCUGCUGUUAUCAAUACUGUACACUUACGAUGUCUUAUAUUGUCUCUCACUGCAGCAGCCGUUCAGGGGGGAGUUACGAUGGCCGUUCUGCCCACUCAUAUCCUUUUUCUGCAGGUGUAUUCCCACCUGUUCUUGGGAGUGUGGGUUCCUGGCUUGAUUUGAUGGACAGUGCCAAAGCAAGCAAAUACUACAGCCAUCAUGACAAAAAGAGAGAAAGGGUGAGGGACAGAGAGAGGGAGUGGACCCGCGACAGAGAAAGAGAACGGGAGAGGAACAGAGAGCGGCAGCGUGAUCGAGAACACACUCCCGCGUGUCAGGGCCGCAGCAGUGAUGAGGAGUGUGUAAUGAGGCACAGGGAUCACAGUGAUCGUGAGAGAGAGAGACAUCGGGAGCGCAGUGGUAGAGCAGAGGAGAGAGAGGACCGGUAUCGCGAGAGAAGACACAGGGAGCACAGCGAACGUCAUAAACCCUCACGCAGCAGCUACAGCAGGAGAAGACACGCCAGCGACGCCGAAGAGAGCCACAGGAGACACCGGCACAAGCGCUCCAGACGCACCAGAGAGAGCACCGAGCCCAGCGAGGAGCACAGCGCCGAGCACGACAACCAAUCAGAGGCCACUGAAGCCUAGCUUUAUAGAGGGGUCUUAUUUUUUUAUUAUUAUUUUUUUAAUUCUCUCUUAAGCCCAACAGCCAAGCAGUGUCUGAGGAGGGCCAUUUUUCAUUUGGGCCAGUGAAAGGUCAGGCUCAUACAGAGCUAACUUAUGUUGUAUUUUAAGCUGUUACAGAUAAAUCCAUUUAUAGAAGUGCUUUAUCAUUAUUAUCAUUAUUAUUAUUAUUUUAUUAAUUUAGAAACGACAGACAAAAAAAGAAAAAAAAAGUCUGAGUUAUUUAAAAUUAUUUAAGUUUAUUUAUUAGAAUUUAAUAUGAUCUAAUAAGACAUGUUGAUUAUUUGAAGAUGAUAAUAUGGAUAUUUUUGUGUUGUGCCAAUGUUAAUUUUGUUGCAGUAGGAAAACAGUAAUAUAAAUAAUUUCAUAAAGCAGCCGCUUGAGUGUGUUCAUUUAUUAGAGCCAUUAGAGCAGAUUAGCAGCCGCAGUGAUAUUGACUGUGUGUUUCUCUCUCUAGC
ensembl:lncRNA